rnacentral:rRNA from 1 species
AGCAGUAGCCGCGGGAACACAGAGGGUGCGAGCGUUAAUCGGAUUUACUGGGCGUAAAGCGUGCGUAGGCGGCUAAUUGAGUCGGAUGUGAAAUCCCCGAGCUUAACUUGGGAAUUGCAUUCGAUACUGGUUAGCUAGAGUGUGGGAGAGGAUGGUAGAAUUCCAGGUGUAGCGGUGAAAUGCGUAGAGAUCUGGAGGAAUACCGAUGGCGAAGGCAGCCAUCUGGCCUAACACUGACGCUGAGGUACGAAAGCAUGGGGAGCAAACAGGAUUAGAUACCCGUGUAGUCCCUGUCUCUUAUAC